rnacentral:misc_RNA from 1 species
GUAGGUGAACCUGCGGAAGGAUCAUUAACACGAAUUAUUUUAUUAUCCAAUAUCAAAAACCAAACGUGAACCUUUUUCCUCCCUAUAUAUUCCAUAUAUAUUAUAUAUAUUUAUUUAAAUCUAUAUCUCUAUAUGUGUGCUAUAUAUAGGCUAACCUCAUCUAUAUAAAUUUUAACACUAUAAACUUCAACUAGUUUUAAUUUAGCUAUUAAAACAUCUAAACUAAAAAAGACAAGGUUAUUCGAAAGAGUAAACUUUAACUUUUUUCGAUUUACGAAAAAUUUAAAAGAACAACUCUUAACAAUGGAUAUCUUGGUUCUC